rnacentral:rRNA from 1 species
GACGAACGUUGGCGGCGUGCUUAAUACAUGCAAGUCAACUGAAGCACCGGUAGUAAUACUGGUGUGGAGGUGGCGCACGGUGAGUAACACGUAGGUAAUCUGCCUUCAGGUCUGACAUAACCCCGAGAAAUCGGGGCUAAUAGCAGAUGAUGCAGCGGCUUGACAUCAAGACAGUUGUUAAAGCUUCGGCGCCUGAAGAUGAGCCUGCGUCUGAUUAGCUAGUUGGCGGAGUAAUAGCCCACCAAGGCGACGAUCAGUAGCUGGUCUGAGAGGAUGAUCAGCCACACUGGAACUGAGACACGGUCCAGACUCCUACGGGAGGCAGCAGUAAGGAAUAUUGCUCAAUGGGAGAAAUCCUGAAGCAGCAACGCCGCGUGAGGGAUGAAGGGCUUUUGCUCGUAAACCUCUGUAGUGAGGGAAAAAAUUUCCAAUUCUAUGGAAUAUGAUGGUACCUC